AAAAAAAGGGGGAUGGAAAUUCGAAUUUCCUCCUAUUUCCCAUGACUCAAAACCGUUUCUCCCCUCUCUCCCAUGAUUCUCUCCCCACUCCUUAAAUCUCUCCCACACCGAAACCAAAUCUUCUCAUCUCUAUAACAUACGUUUUCACCAACCAUUUUUUUUUCUCACGGCAGACUUCGAAGGCUUCGAAGGGUGCCGAAUUCUUAAUUCAGUCCUAACUGUGAAAUGAAAUUCUUCAGCUUCAAGAACCUCCUUUUUCAGCCUUGUAAACUCCACAAUCAAGUCCUACUCACAGAGGUGAAUCAUCGCAAGUGAAACGUGAUACUAAGGGGAAGAAAGUGCUUGUGAAUUAAGCAGUCGAGGUUGAGCGGCGACGAGCAAUUGGUGGUGUUGAGCAAUCUAAAAUUGAAGUAUUGUUUGGU